rnacentral:rRNA from 1 species
GGGGAAUUUUCCGCAAUGGGCGAAAGCCUGAUGGAGCAACGCCGCGUGAGUGAAGAAGGUCUUAGGAUUGUAAAGCUCUGUCCUUAGGGAAGAACCGUGGGUAUAGAAAAUGAUACCCACCUGACGGUACCUUUGGAGGAAGCACUGGCUAACUACGUGCCAGCAGCCGCGGUAAUACGUAGAGUGCAAGCGUUGUCCGGAAUUAUUGGGCGUAAAGGGUACGCAGGCGGAUAAUCAAGUCAAGCGUGAAAGGUGUCGGCUUAACCGACAGACUGCGUUUGAAACUGGUUAUCUUGAGUGUAACAGAGGAGAGUGGAAUUCCUAGUGUAGUGGUGAAAUACGUAGAUAUUAGGAAGAACACCAGUGGCGAAGGCGACUCUCUGGGUUAACACUGACGCUGAGGUACGAAAGCUGGGGGAGCGAAAGGGAUUAGAUACCCCUGUAGUC